rnacentral:sRNA from 12 species
GGCCUAAACCAGUAGCAAUACUGGCAUGGUAAAAAGUCCUUGGAAGAUAAAGAACCCAUCAUAGGGUCGUCUUCCAAGGCCAUAUCGGGAAACCGGUAUGAGAGGCUUCGAGCCUCU